rnacentral:rRNA from 1 species
GUGGCUUCCGGAGCUAACGCGUUAAGUCGACCGCCUGGGGAGUACGGCCGCAAGGUUAAAACUCAAAUGAAUUGACGGGGGCCCGCACAAGCGGUGGAGCAUGUGGUUUAAUUCGAUGCAACGCGAARAACCUUACCUACUCUUGACAUCCAGAGAACUUAGCAAAGAUGCUUUGGUGCCUUCGGGAACUCUGAGACAGGUGCUGCAUGGCUGUCGUCAGCUCGUGUUGUGAAAUGUUGGGUUAAGUCCCGCAACGAGCGCAACCCUUAUCCUUUGUUGCCAGCGAUUCGGUCGGGAACUCAAAGGAGACUGCCAGUGAUAAACUGGAGGAAGGUGGGGAUGACGUCAAGUCAUCAUGGCCCUUACAAGUAGGGCUACACACGUGCUACAAUGGCAUAUACAAAGAGAAGCGACCUCGCGAGAGCAAGCGGACCUCAUAAAGUAUGUCGUAGUCCGGAUCGGAGUCUGCAACUCGACUCCGUGAAGUCGGAAUCGCUAGUAAUCGUGGAUCAGAAUGCCACGGUGAAUACGUUCCCGGGCCUUGUACACACCGCCCGUCACACCAUGGGAGUGGGUUGCAAAAGAAGUAGGUAGCUUAACCUUCGGGAGGGCGCUUACCACUUUGUGAUUCAUGACUGGGGUGAAGUCGUAACAAGGGUA